rnacentral:rRNA from 1 species
UACAGAGGGGGCAAGCGUUUGUUCGGAAUUACUGGGCGUAAAGGGCGCGUAGGCGGCCCGCUAAGUCGAAACGUGAAAUCCCCCGAGCUCAACUCGGGAACUGCGUCCGAUACUGGUGGGCUUGAAUCCGGGAGAGGGAUGCGGAAUUCCAGGUGUAGCGGUGAAAUGCGUAGAUAUCUGGAGGAACACCGGUGGCGAAGGCGGCUUGCUGGGCCAGUUCUGACGCUGAGGAGCGAAAGCGUGGGGAGCGAACAGG